rnacentral:rRNA from 1 species
GACGAACGCUGGCGGCGUGCUUAACACAUGCAAGUCGAACGGAAAGGCCCUGCUUUUGUGGGGUGCUCGAGUGGCGAACGGGUGAGUAACACGUGAGUAACCUGCCCUUGACUUUGGGAUAACUUCAGGAAACUGGGGCUAAUACCGGAUAGGAGCUCCUGCUGCAUGGUGGGGGUUGGAAAGUUUCGGCGGUUGGGGAUGGACUCGCGGCUUAUCAGCUUGUUGGUGGGGUAGUGGCUUACCAAGGCUUUGACGGGUAGCCGGCCCGAGAGGGUGACCGGCCACAAUGGGACUGAGAUACGGCCCAGACUCCUACGGGAGGCAGCAGUGGGGAAUAUGGCACAAUGGGCGGAAGCCUGAUGCAGCAACGCCGCGUGCGGGAUGACGGCCUUCGGGUUGUAAACCGCUUUCGCCUGUGACGAAGCGUGAGUGACGGUAAUGGGUAAAGAAGCACCGGCUAACUACGUG